AUUGAACGCUGGCGGCAUGCCUUACACAUGCAAGUCGAACGGCAGCAUGGAAGAGCUUGCUCUUCUGAUGGCGAGUGGCGAACGGGUGAGUAAAGCAUCGGAACGUACCGUGUAAUGGGGGAUAACGUAGCGAAAGUUACGCUAAUACCGCAUACGACCUGAGGGUGAAAGCAGGGGAUCGCAAGACCUUGCGUUAUACGAGCGGCCGAUGUCAGAUUAGCUAGUUGGUAGGGUAAAGGCCUACCAAGGCGACGAUCUGUAGCGGGUCUGAGAGGAUGAUCCGCCACACUGGGACUGAGACACGGCCCAGACUCCUACGGGAGGCAGCAGUGGGGAAUUUUGGACAAUGGGGGAAACCCUGAUCCAGCCAUGCCGCGUGAGUGAAGAAGGCC
rnacentral:rRNA from 1 species